rnacentral:sRNA from 1 species
UUGACAGCCCUGGAGAACAAAGUCUAUUUAUCCACAGUACAGGUGCAGCCCAGCCAGCCAUUGACAAGGAAAGCUUCCCCAAAAAACUGACCAAGAAGUCUCACCCUUUUCUGAACAGUCUGUCUCUAAAAAUGAGAUGGCAGUAGAUCAUUUUCCUGGCCUGUUCAACUAUUGGCCUUU